GGCAUGUGGCGUAAUGGUUUGAGCGUUAGACUGUGACUCUGGAGAGCAGGGUUCUAAUCCCAGCUCCA